UCUGUAUGAAUUAGUUCUAAGAGAUUCUAACUUCUAGUUGCCUUUUAAUUACUGAAUUUAGUCAUUUUCCCUUACAACACUCCACACAAUCAGUCAUAUCAGAAUAGUCUAAAUCUGUAGGUAAAAGUUUAUUUUUCUAAAGUGUUUUGAGUCUUUCUUUUGAAAUGUGGCCUAGUCUCCUAUGCCACAAGUUUGCAGACUGCUGAUUAUAAAGGAUUUUGUUAGUUCUAGUGAUCUUAUUGCUGUGAUUCUUAAUGUUUUCAUUAUUUUCAAUUAACAGAAUUUUUUGUUGUGCAACAGAACAAUUUAAUUGCAAAUAAUCAUUAUUGAAAACACCACAACCAAUAUAUUCAGAAUCCUGAAAAAGCUUUAUUCCUUUCAUAUCAAUGGAAAGUCUACAACCAUACUUAACCAAAAGAGAAACAAAAAUUAAAUUCCUCUUGAGCGAGGGAAUGUAAUAAACAUUGUCCAGAUAAAUAAACUUUCCUAAACCAUGAUGCAGCAAACCUACUGCUUAGAUACCAGGAUCAACAAGCUCUAAAGCUUGGGGCUUUAAACACACACAAAACACUUGGAUUUGGGAAUCACUCCCUAGUUUCUCACCAAAAUUUAGGCCUCUCACCCAAACUAGGCUUCACGCCAAUCCCAUCACAGGAAAACUCAGAAACACUCUGAUAAUUUUUUAUUCAUAUAACAUAGCAUAGCAUACCUAGGUAGCCCUUACACUUAUUUAUACUUGAGCUAGUAGCUCAAAUUGACACGACCCACCCCAAAUUUCACCCUGAAACCCGGAGUAAGUCGUGCGGGGACCACCUCCAAGAAAAAUUUACUGAAAAGAUUAAACAAAUCUCCCUUGCAGAUGGACAACCCUAACUCGAAAAUUUCAUAUUACACUCUUAAUUCAACACUUCCGAACAUCACAUAAUCAUCUUUCAGAAAUUUUACACAUAAUAUACAAUAAUCCCAAAGUAUUCAGAGCUACUAAACACAAGCGGAAGAAAGAAAACACGAGUAGGUUGAACAGGUAACCUACUGACGAAAACUGGCAGAAAUACGGGUGACUAUGCCUCGUCUCCUACUAGAUCCAACCCGAACUCUGCAGACUGGGCAAUUUAAAACGAAGGGCCCAGGGGAAAACAUUUAAUAACGUUAGAGUGAGUGGACAAAAAUAAAAUAAUAAAUAAAAUAUUUAUGUUUCCCCAAAUUAAUUUCUAAGGAAAAAUCGAAUGCAUGCCGCAAGCGAUAAAACUUUUAUCCCAUAAAUGUCGAGCCUCUCAGGCUCUAUAAUAUAUGUAUGUAUUUACACACGUCCAUACUCCCUAUAUAAAUUCAUGGGUCUAUAUAGGGCUACUACGCUCGCGUCCAACGCUCACGUCACGCCCUUAAUGCGGUGCUACACU
rnacentral:lncRNA from 1 species